CCCGCCCGGCUCUCAACCCCAGACCAGCUCCAGACCUGGCGGAAGGGUCUGCUGAGAAGAGCUUCCCUGUCCGAGAAGGCUGACGGGUGAGCCGACACAAGGGGCCGGUGGUGAGGUGGCGAAGAUCCAAGGGUUACCAAGAGAGGAGGCGGCACAGUGAUCUGAAUGACUUUAGAGCUGGAGGCAAGAGAAGUCAUGAAUCUGGAGACAUUUCACAGAAGCAGACUCGGUCUCCUGUCACCCAGACCUUCUGGGGCUUGAUGAUCCAUUCCUGGGGACCUCUGCAGCCUUCUUCAGAUUCCCAGCAGCAAAGAAAUACCUUAGGCCAGUGGUUGUCACACUGCAGCGCGCAUGAGAACCCCCUGGAACAGAGCACGGAGCCCGGCUGCACAGUUUCUGAUUCAACACAGCUCUGGAGUCGUCCUCACUUUCUACACUGCAAUCAGUCAGCAGCGUGAUGGUCUCCAUAUUGCCAAGUCAAGUGGACACAUUCCGGGCCUCUCUUCCUUAGCUUCUCUUCAGUAUUUGGAACUGCUGACAUUUCCACCACUCUGUGUGUUUUGAUAACACCACUCUCCCAAGUUUAUCUCAUACUUCUUGGCUGCCUUUCUCUUAGUGCCCUUUCUAGGGGUCUACUUUAGUCCUUUCCUCGUGUCCUGAGGGUUGAGGCUUCCCUGUGCUUCCAUUCGAGACCCUCUGCUCCUCUUAUUCUAGAAACACCUUCCAGGUGACUUCUUUCAACCUGUAGCUUCAACUACAAUUAUACCAAGGUUCUCCAAAUA